GUAGUGCCAACUAGUGACUGUCACCACCAGUGCCAGGGAGUGGCCUGACUGAAAACCCUGUUUCGCAGGAAUCCGCCUCGCCCGUGGCACAUUGAGACAUGCAGGAAGGUGUGACUGACAUCAGAGCUCUACGAGCAAAAUUUCAAAAUGACUCUAACUUGGCCAACAAGCUGGUGCAGCCACGCAAGAAGCUUCCUCCUAAGAUUGCACCCAAGCCGGGCUCUAGAGGAAACGUUGUGUCCAGCCCUCUGCCUCUGAGUAAGAGAGAAGUGAUAACACCAAAACCCAAGGAUGAACCUGUCCAUCCUGCCUCCCAACCCUCUGCACUCACCCAAUGCAACCCCUUGGCAUGGCCUCGAGCCAAGCUGGGUUACAUGGAGCCAACGGAGCACAAUGAAGAGCAGAAAGGCAACAACUCGGAGAAAGGGCUGAGUUCUCCCAAGAGUGGUCCAGAGAAGCCUCUGCCAUCCUAUUGCAUUGAUUGGCAAGGAUCAGCCCAAACAGCCCCAGAGGAUCCUUCGCCCCCAAAUUCUUUCCAGCAUGCCCUAAAGAUCUGGGAAAAUGCUUUAUCCUGUGGCGAGAAAGCAAAUUUAAUACUCCCAACCCAACGGGCAACAAACUUGUAUGUGCACCCUUGCCCGGAGCAGAGGGCGAUGCGUGCUCCAACUGCGUCGGGUGGCAGGACUCAACCCUCUGGAAGCAAGCCCAUGCUGGACUUGCCUGCCCAGAAGAAGGAUGCUCUGCAUGGCCAUGGGCUGUCUCUUCCUCAGGCAUCCAGAGGACACAGAGGCUCUGAUGGAGCUGCUCCUGAGAUCGCGGUGGCAACUGCAUUCUGCCAGCUGGGUUAUGUCCCACCAAGAAAGCAACCUCAGCACCAGAAAGAAUCGGAGCCUCCCUUCUGCCAGCCUGGAGCAGGAAAUUGGUCUUACAGCCCCGGCAGCAAGUGGCCAAGAGUUAAACUUCUCCCUUCAGUUGAAUCCCUGGGUCCAGCCCCUGAGAAGCCAGCAAGACCCCCAAAGUUUGAUCUCAGUGCCUUCCGAAGCACCAUGCUUUCAGUCCACAGAGGAAAUGAAACAACUGCUGAUGAAGAGGAUUACUUGACUCCUGAAAGUGCUCAACUUGAAGAGCAGCAUAAUUAUGAAGAAACCUCAGUGUACCUGAAUCAGCCUGGGGACGCCAAAACCUUGUGUGUCAUUGAAGUACCGAAGGAAGAGCCUGAAGAAUACAAGAAACAGAAGACUUUUUUCUUUGCCAAAUCCAGUCCUGGAAGAACUAUAAUAGAGGAUGAAAAAGAGGAAAAAACAAGUCUUGAAAGAGAGAAACAUGAAGGAAAAAAAUUUUUUGAAGUAUGGUAUCCUUGAGAUUACUUUUAAUAAUUAACUAUAGGAUGUCUCUUCUUCUAUCCUCCAUUUCUUUGGGAAACAGUUGAAAUUUGGGUCCCCGGUCACUUGUUUUUUUCUGCCUUCCCUUUUGCCUGCUCAUUGUUCAGCUGCUCCUGCCUAAAAGGCAGGUAGUGCUGCCAAGCAACACCUAUAUCUACCAGAAAUCCUUGAUGGAAAAGGGCAUGAAACUGUUUUAAUUCCACAGAAAGAUAACUUAUAUUCUUAUAGAUGUACAUGUGUAAGUUAUGUUAAUUUACAUUAGAAAGCCGUUUCUAAAGACUGUAUUGACCAAACCAAAUGUCUGAUCUCAGACAGGUGGAAAUGAGUACGUAUGUCCCAUCAGCCAAACCGAGGAAGAUGGUAGAGGUGGGAUGAAGGUGCCACAUGGGAAGCAGUAUGUGACCAGUACCCAGACUGCAAAGUCCCCAACCCCACAAGGGCUGGCAAAAGACGGAGCAGAGUACUGUGAGUAUCUCGUUGCGCUGUUGAGUGUUUCCUCAAUCCUCAAUCCCAUCUGUUGCCCAAAUGUCUCUUCCAUAUGGGAAAUAAUGUUAAAUUUG
rnacentral:lncRNA from 1 species